rnacentral:rRNA from 1 species
CGGAGGGUGCAAGCGUUAUCCGGAUUCACUGGGUUUAAAGGGUGCGUAGGUGGAAUGGUAAGUCAGUGGUGAAAUCUCCAAGCUUAACUUGGAACUGCCGUUGAUACUAUCAUUCUUGAAUAUCGUGGAGGUGAGCGGAAUAUGUCAUGUAGCGGUGAAAUGCUUAGAUAUGACAUAGAACACCGAUUGCGAAGGCAGCUCACUACGCGAUUAUUGACACUGAGGCACGAAAGCGUGGGAUCAAACAGGAUU